UUUAUUUCUAAAUUUCUCUAUAGUUUGAUUGAUUUCUAUCUCUCUUUUUCUUUUGUUUAUUAUACUGAGAUACUGAUUUCACAAAACUGGUAGUGAGCCUUUAAACAUGUUUGAUGGAAGCUUUGACUCAAGGCUAGGAAUUUCGCCAAAACCCAAUUCUUUGAAAUUUCAGUGGGUUUUCCAUUCUUGUUUUAGAUAUCCUUCUUUAAUCUGUGUUGGUAUUUGAAAGUUUUGUCAUUCAAUUUCACUUCCUUCUAGCUUUGUCGUGGUUCCAUUGCUGAUCUGUGAGGAAAUGGUAGAGUAAUACAAACCAACAGGUGGUUCUAUUUUUAUAUUUCUCACUUUUGGUGUUAACACAAUUAAAGGUGCAAUGAAACAAUGUGCCUCAAAGAAAAUAUUUGUUAAAAUAGGAGGCUUUAUUCUUCAAGCUAUGGAAAUGGUGGAAAAUUAGACGAAACUCAAAUGCGAUUGACACUAGAGACAGCGUGAUCGACCAUUAUUCACAGUGCACAGAAUCAAAUCUCAUGCUGAGUUGUAUGGGUUCGUGGCCAUGUUUAGGGAGAAAAAUUGUGCCCAAUUAUAUAGCUACACAUAUGGAGUUCUUGCUUUCUUGUGCAUUUGGUGAUAGACUCUCGAUGUAAUAUGUAGCUGUUGAUCCAGAAUUUUAGGAGGAAAAGAUUGAUGCUUCCCUUGAGGUUCUUAUCUUAUCCUUGCUAAUGACGAAUUAUGGGAUGCUGUCACAUAUGAGGCUGAUGCUUUGGAUAAAACCAAUCUAGGAGCAGGAACAGGUAGCAAAGAGGUUAAUGUAUGAAGCACACCAAGUUGUGCAGGAUCAAGGAGAUUCCUCUCACAUUAGAUGUGGAAGCACCCUUCCUUGGCUUGAUACUAAGUUUUGGUUUUCUACUAGAGUAGAAGAUGAAGUGCAAUAAAAUUCAAGUUGUUCACAAUUAUAGAAAAUCAUAGUGUUCUGCUAUUGAAGGUUAGAGAUGUGAAGAAACUCAUUAGAAUGUGAAUGUGUGCUACAUAAUAUCAUCUUCUUGCAUAGAGUUAUAUCUGAAAGCUUCGGUGGUUGAAUUUAGUUAGAAAACAUGCCUUGUUUGAUUUUGUAAAGAACCAUUGGCUAAAGUCAACUAUGAUUACAAGGUAGACAUAGUACUUGGUAGUGGAUGUGUCUAACUAUAUUUGGUAGUGAUACUUUGUCAAGGUGUUUUAAAUUUCAUCAAUGAUUAGCUAGAAUCUUGUUUUCUUCUUCUUUUAUGGGUUACAACAUAGAUUAUAAUGGGAUUUUAAGGGCUUGUUUUUACUAAAAUGUAUUGCUAA